rnacentral:rRNA from 1 species
AUGUCGUCAAAGCGCGAGAACGGGUCGGACGGCGAGGGGCUCGGAGCCGAGGGAGGCGUGCCUCCGUCGCCUCUAUACGCCGCCCCAGUCGUCUGCCUCCUCCGGUCCGCCGGGGACUUCGGCGCCGGCGCCUUCGUCGGAGGCGUCGUUGGAUACGGGCAAGGUUUGAUCACUAAGAAGGGCUUCAAGGGCUCACUCAGCAAUGCAGGCUCGGCUGCCAAGACUUUUGCAGUUCUCUCCGGCGUCCAGAGUUUCAUUGUGUGCUUAUUGAAAAAGCUACGCGGGAAAGAUGAUCUUGUCAAUUCUGGCAUUGCUGGAUGUUGCACUGGCCUUGCCUUGAGCUUUCCAGGAACACCUCAAGCAUUGCUUCAGAGCUGCGCCACCUUCGCAGCAUUCUCUUGCAUAAUGGAGGGGCUGAACAAGCAGCAGGCUGCAAUGGCCCACACGCUCCGAGGAAACGCUCUGACCUUUGCGCACGAGAAAGGCGGCGUUCUCCCCCCUUUCAUGCUUCCGCCAAUUCUCGACGCAUCAGAUGCUCUAGCUUCAUGCUGCCAGACCUUGGUGAAGCCCAAGCACUAG